AAGACACUAGUAGAACGCGGCGAAGACGCCGCCUUGUUCAAGGCGGAGAUGCGGGUUCAAACCCCGCGUGUCUU
rnacentral:tRNA from 1 species